GAUAAAGGCGAGAUAACUCCGAAGGGUUCCAAGCGACGGCGGUGUUUGGGACCUGGAAGUCGGCUCAUCACAUCCUGGGGCUGAAGUAGGUCCCAAGGGUAUGGCUGUUCGCCAUUUAAAGUGGUACGCGAGCUGGGUUGAGAACGUCGUGAGACAGUUCGGUCCCUAUCUGCCGUGGGCGCUGGAGAACUGAGGGGGGCUGCUCCUAGUACGAGAGGACCGGAGUGGACGCAUCACUGGUGUUCGGGUUGUCAUGCCAAUGGCACUGCCCGGUAGCUAAAUGCGGAAGAGAUAAGUGCUGAAAGCAACUAAGCACGAAACKUGCACCGRRAUGAGUUCKCCCUGAGACUUAGAGUCUCCUGAAGGAACGUUGAAGACGACGACGUUGAUAGGCCGGGUGUGUAAGCGCAGCGAUGCGUUGAGCUAACCGGUACUAAUGAACCGUGAGGCUUAACCUUACAACGCCGAAGCUGUU
rnacentral:rRNA from 1 species